UCUGCGUCCGGGUCAGGGCUACUGCCGUCGCUGCUGCCGUCCCUACUGUAGCUGCAGCCGGGAGACUGGACCCUAGUAUCCGCCGCCCACCGAACAGAGCGGGCUCCGCUCGGCAGCACCUUGUACGACCUGGCCGUCAGCCCCACGUCGCCGGCCUGGAGGGACGAAGAGCACGAGGGAGCCGAGGCUUCCUCCGGGGACAUUGGAUCCCUGGAUCAUCGGGAAUUUGUAGUUGACAUUGAGGCUAGACUGAGGAUGGAAGGUGUGGAACUUAAGGAAGAAUGGCAAGAUGAAGAUUUUCCAAUACCAUUACCAGAAGAUGAUAGUAUUGAAGCAGAUAUACUACCUGUAUCUGGACCUGAAAGCCAGCCUGGCUCACUAGAAGUUAAUGGAAAUAAAGUAAGAAAGAAAUUAGUGGCUCCAGACAUUAGCUUGACACUGGAUCCUAGUGAUGGCUCUGUGUUGUCAGAUGAUUUGGAUGAAAGUGGGGAGAUUGACUUAGAUGGCUUAGACACACCAUCAGAGAACAGCAAUGAGUUUGACUGGGAAGAUGAUCUUCCAAAACCCAAAACUACUGAAGUAAUCAGGAAAGGGUCAAUUACUGAAUACACAGCUGCAGAGGAAAAAGAAGAUGGACGACGCUGGCGUAUGUUCAGAAUUGGAGAACAGGAUCACAGGGUUGAUAUGAAGGCAAUUGAACCCUAUAAAAAAGUUAUCAGCCAUGGAGGAUAUUAUGGGGAUGGAUUAAAUGCCAUUGUUGUGUUUGCUGUCUGCUUUAUGCCUGAAAGUGGUCAACCUAACUAUAGAUACCUGAUGGACAAUCUCUUUAAAUAUGUUAUUGGCACUUUGGAGCUGUUAGUAGCAGAAAACUACAUGAUAGUUUAUUUAAAUGGUGCGACAACUCGAAGAAAAAUGCCCAGUCUGGGAUGGCUUAGGAAAUGCUAUCAGCAAAUUGAUAGAAGGUUACGGAAAAACUUAAAAUCGCUACUCAUUGUACAUCCCUCUUGGUUUAUAAGAACACUUCUGGCUGUUACAAGACCCUUUAUUAGCUCAAAAUUCAGCCAAAAAAUUAGAUACGUCUUUAAUUUGGCAGAACUAGCGGAACUUGUCCCCAUGGAAUAUGUUGGCAUACCAGAAUGCAUAAAACAGUAUGAAGAAGAAAAGUUUAAAAAGAAACAAAAAAGAGUUGAUCAAGAGCUUAAUGGAAAACAAGAUGAACCAAAAAGUGAACAGUAAGUUUGGCAUCUAGUCCAAACAAGACUGAAGAAUGUGCUGAUGAAGCAGUGCUCUUUUUUGCAUUUAUAAUGCAUUUAUUCACCUUUAUUUUUAGUCAUGAACUUCGCUAACUUAAAAACAGUCACAGGAGAUACUGGGGGAUUGCCAGGAUAAGAAAUUCCUCAGCAGCCUCCUGAUGUAAUGUGGAUUCAGCAGCUGUAGGUAAAUCUUAAACUAACGUCACUAUAGUGAAUAAAGUCAAAAUCAUUAUUGCUUGCUGAAAUCUUAGAAACACUUUGUGUUAAAAAAAUAAGCUAACAAUAACAACUUAGGCAUUCCUUCUUAACUCACUGUAUGAAGAUUAUGAAUAAAGGAUCAUAUUGAAUUUAAUUGUGAUUAGAGUCUAUAUGUGUAGAGCAUAUUAAGUAGUUUUUCAUCUAUAGGACUUUCUCUUGCUCAAAGUGGGCUGUUUUUUAAAGGUGGUUUUUCACUAUAUUAAGCACAGUUUUUCAACAAAGAAUUCAACUGUUUGUGUUUAUUGGCUUUUGCUUCUGCAAUCAUUGUUCCUAACUGUACAACUUAUUCCAAAAAUGAAAAGUUUUUCUAAAUGUUUUAUAUGUAGAAUUAGCUUACAUUCUAUUAGAACAUUAAAAUUCAGAGGGAACGGUAAUAUUAACACCUGGGAUAUAACAAAAGGGAUGUGUUAUGAAUCACUAGGUUAAAAAGAAACUGCUUCAAUAUCCACCUUAAAGGAAUUUGGUGUAGGGAAGUGCCCCACAAUAAAUAUUUCAUAACUAUAAGAUUUAAGACCAUAGCUAGUAGGUUAGAUUAAGUGGAUUUAUUGAGUUUAUAUGUAAUUUUUUGCUACGUAACAUUUUCCCCAAUCAUUUCAUUUUAAUAUUCCGUUAUUGAUUGAGGUGAAAGUACAUAUAUAAUUGUAUUAUUUUACCUUUCUGUCAGGGUCAUGGGUCUUAACUGGUUGCUUGGAUGUCUGUUGCUAUUUUUUGUUAUACCUGGGAUCUGAGUACCCCUUUUAACUUAAAAAUUUUGCACAUAAAGUAUGAAAUAAUUUGAUUCUUUGUUCUGCUUGAUCAUAUUCUUAAGUAGCACCAAGGAAAGAUGCUAUAUUUUCCCAGCGUCUAAGAUUAAUAGUCUUUAACUCAGAAGGAGAUAUGAAGAAAUGAUUCUAAAUAGGGCCUAGCUGGACAGUUGGAAAGGAAGAUUGUGAAACAACGAAGUAAGAGGAAGAAGACUGUAAAGGGGUAGAGAGUUAGCCAUUUGUAUGGUACCACUGAGUUUGUCCCUGUUAGGGAAGUACUGUAUGUAUGGCAAUUGGUGCUACUGUUUCCUGUAUCCAGCAGGAAAACUUGCAGGCUACACAUAGAAUAUGUGAAUAAGGAGAUACAUGGAGCAGCAGGAACAAAGACUAAAAAUACCUGUGAUGAGAGUUCAUAUUUUCUUUUUCUUUGUCUCUUCACACAGAAGCAAAUUUGAACAGAGAGGGUCAUCAAUUACAGUGCUUAGAUUAAAGACUGGGUUCUCUGUCAUAUUCCAUGGUUGGUAAACUUUAGUCGUCCAAAAUGAGCAUUAACCUAUUUAGUAUACUGCAAUGGAUACUGAAAUCUUCUGAUUGACAAGUAUGUAUCUGUAGCUAUAAUUUCUUCAACUGCAAUCCCAGAAAUUUACGAAGGUAAGGGAUUUGCUUUUUGAUAGAGACUUCUUUUCAAUGGUUAUAUAACAUUACUCUUUGGCUGUUUUUAUGUGAAUGCUCAGGGAAUUUGAAAGAGUAUUUGAUUUAGUGCAAAAGUAGCCUUUUUACGUAAAUUACCAUUAGGAUAUACUGGGUAGAGCAGGCCAGUUUCCUAUCAGUUGAAGAAAUUAGAGAUCCUUUACACCAUUCUGUUUUGUUUUCAUUCUUUUUUUUUCCCCAUUCUAUAUCAAUAUGUGAGAAAUGAAUCCCAAAACAAAUUUGAGAGGGAUGACCUAGAGGAAUUAUUUGACCUACCAGUUAUUUUGUUAAAGAACUUACCUUGUCGUGGAGAAUAUGAAUUCUAUGGUUUGUGUUGCUGGGAGGAUGAGUCAAGAACCUAGACUUGGAUGGGAAGGCCAACUGGUGAGGAAAGUGGGGGAGGAGGGGUUAUCUACUAAGUGUUUCUAAACUAGUUCAGAAGAAUUAACCUGGGGAGCCCUUCACUUCCCUUCCCCUUCUCCAGAUUCUGAAUGAAUUCGAUCAGUGAUGAGGCCCAAUAAUGUAACUUUCCUUCUAAGUUCUAAAUGAUAGUGUGUUUGAACAGUAUAGAGUUUGAAUAGAACAGUUAGUCUGUUGUAGCCUCAUAUAUAAUAGAUCUUCUACUUAAUUUCUCAGGUUUUGAGAACUAAAUAAAAAAUGCUAUGGAGAGUUCACAUAAAGCCCUUAACAAAUCAAGCACCAGAAAAAAAAUCAGGAAUUUAGUGCUUUCAAAUGAAUAAAGAAUGAUAUUAAGCUUUUUACUUCAGAUAGCUGUCUGAUUUAAGACAUUCCAAAAGAGGUGAAACAUUUGCAUUUUGAGAUUUUUAUGCAUUUGCACAUUCAUUUUGGCUAAGGAAGAACUUGGAAAAUAACGUUGAAAUUAUCAGCUACCCCACUGCAUUUUUUGUAUAUAGACUUCCUGAAGUUUUAUAUCCCUUAAACAAUUGCUUAAUUGUUUAUUUACAUAAACCUAGCUAAUAAAUAUUGGUGGUGUUUAGGGCCCUUGACUGCACAGCCCUUGGGGUACCAUCCAUAUAGAACACAAUUCAGAAUUUGUUAGAUACUAUCGCACUUUGAUAUAUUUCAAAAAUGUUUUUGUUACCACAGGUUCACAUGCUGUCAUUUAAACAAAAUUAAUGUACUGUGGUCAUUUUUACUGCUAUUCAGAUGAGGAUGCCUAGCCUGGAACUGUCAUUUUACAGUGUGAGAAAUUCAAUUCUGAUGACAUGUGCAAGAUGAUGAUGUGGUGCCUGUAAGAAAUACUAGGGUUGGUCAUGAUUUACUAAGGAGAUUUAUAUUUUAUUUCCCUUUGAUCUGUUAGGAAUAUAACUUGUGUCCUGGUUUGUUGCAUAUCACAUUUUUGCAACGUUAAUGAAUUUAAAUAAAUUAGUUGGAAACUU